AGUGAGGAAUAUUGGUCAAUGGGCGCAAGCCUGAACCAGCCAUCCCGCGUGCAGGAAGACGGCCCUAUGGGUUGUAAACUGCUUUUCCAGGGGGAGAAUUUUUCUGUCGUGACAGGAAUUGACGGUACCCUGGGAAUAAGCAUCGGCUAACUCCGUGCCAGCAGCCGCGGUAAUACGGAGGAUGCGAGCGUUAUCCGGAUUUAUUGGGUUUAAAGGGUGCGUAGGCGGAUUGAUAAGUCAGUGGUGAAAACCUGCAGCUUAACUGUAGACUUGCCGUUGAUACUGUCAGUCUUGAGUGUGGUCAAGGUAGGCGGAAUGUGUAAUGUAGCGGUGAAAUGCUUAGAUAUUACACAGAACACCGAUUGCGAAGGCAGCUUACUGGGCCAUUACUGACGCUGAUGCACGAAAGCGUGGGGAUCGAACAGGAUUAGAUACCCUGGUAGUCCACGCCGUAAACGAUGAUCACUCGCUGUUAGCGAUACACAGUUAGCGGCUAAGCAAAAGCAUUAAGUGAUCCACCUGGGGAGUACGGCCGCAAGGCUGAAACUCAAAGGAAUUGACGGGGGCCCGCACAAGCGGAGGAACAUGUGGUUUAAUUCGAUGAUACGCGAGGAACCUUACCUGGGCUUAAAUGUAGAGUGCAUUCAGCUGAAAGGCUGAUUUCCUUCGGGACUUUCUGCAAGGUGCUGCAUGGUUGUCGUCAGCUCGUGCCGUGAGGUGUCGGGUUAAGUCCCAUAACGAGCGCAACCCUUAUCGUUAGUUGCCAGCGGGUAAUGCCGGGAACUCUAACGAAACUGCCGGUGUAAACCGAGAGGAAGGUGGGGAUGACGUCAAAUCAGCACGGCCCUUAUGUCCAGGGCUACACACGUGUUACAAUGGCCGGUACAGAGGGCAGCUAUGCCGCGAGGCAAUGCGAAUCUCGAAAGCCGGUCUCAGUUCGGAUCGGAGUCUGCAACUCGACUCCGUGAAGCUGGAUUCGCUAGUAAUCGCGCAUCAGCCAUGGCGCGGUGAAUACGUUCCCGGGCCUUGUACACACCGCCCGUCAAGCCAUGGAAGUUGGGGGUACCUGAAGUCCGUAACCGCAAGGAGCGGCCUAGGGUAAAACCAGUGACUGGGGCU
rnacentral:rRNA from 1 species